rnacentral:rRNA from 2 species
UGGGGGAUAUUGCGCAAUGGGAGAAACCCUGACGCAGCAACGCCGCGUGAAGGACGAAGGUUUUCGGAUCGUAAACUUCUUUGACCGGGGACGAAUAAAUGACGGUACCCGGGGAACAAGCCACGGCUAACUACGUGCCAGCAGCCGCGGUAAUACGUAGGUGGCGAGCGUUGUCCGGAUUUACUGGGCGGAAAGGGCGCGUAGGCGGGGCGGCAAGUCCGAUGUGAAAUCCCGCGGCUUAACUGCGGAACUGCAUCGGAAACUGCCGUCCUUGAGUAUCAGAGGGGAAAGCGGAAUUCCUAGUGUAGCGGUGAAAUGCGUAGAUAUUAGGAGGAACACCGGUGGCGAAGGCGGCUUUCUGGCUGAAAACUGACGCUGAUGCGCGAAAGCGUGGGGAGCAAACAGG